AUUUUAUCAAAUCAUAUUUAUGAUACAGUUUGAUUAUUUUGUCCAAAUAUUAUUUAAAGAUAUUUCAAAAUAUUAUUUACUUCAUUCUAGUAAUUAGUGUACAGGUAAAAACUGUUCACUACAUUGUAUAAUUUUACUAUUGAUAAAUAACUGAUCGACAGGUGUAGUUGUGUCUCAGUUUUGUGAACAAGAAUAUUUGAAAAUUUAAGGUAGAUCUAUGUGAUUUUCAUACUAGAGGAUGAUAUUAUUGCAGUAAAAUUGUCUGCCAUUUCCUUAUUUAGG